GAUGAACGCUGGCGGCGUGCCUAAUACAUGCAAGUCGAGCGAACGGACGAGGAGCUUGCUUCUCUGAUGUUAGCGGCGGACGGGUGAGUAACACGUGGAUAACCUACCUAUAAGACUGGGAUAACUUCGGGAAACCGGAGCUAAUACCGGAUAAUAUUUUGAACCGCAUGGUUCAAUAGUGAAAGACGGUCUUGCUGUCACUUAUAGAUGGAUCCGCGCUGCAUUAGCUAGUUGGUAAGGUAACGGCUUACCAAGGCAACGAUGCAUAGCCGACCUGAGAGGGUGAUCGGCCACACUGGAACUGAGACACGGUCCAGACUCCUACGGGAGGCAGCAGUAGGGAAUCUUCCGCAAUGGGCGAAAGCCUGACGGAGCAACGCCGCGUGAGUGAUGAAGGUCUUCGGAUCGUAAAACUCUGUUAUUAGGGAAGAACAUAUGUGUAAGUAACUAUGCACGUCUUGACGGUACCUAAUCAGAAAGCCACGGCUAACUACGUG
rnacentral:rRNA from 1 species